rnacentral:rRNA from 1 species
AUUCCAGCUCCAAUAGCGUAUAUUAAAGUUGUUGCAGUUAAAAAGCUCGUAGUCGGAUUUUGGCAUCACGCCGAACUGUCUGCCGAUUGGUAAGUACGGUUUGGCGGGUGCUUCCUUCCGGAGGCUCGUUCCCUUCUUCAUUGAAGGGUUCGUUGGUUCCGGGUCUUUUACUUUGAGAAAAUUAGAGUGUUCAAAGCAGGCCUAUGCUCUGAAUAGGUUAGCAUGGAAUAAUAGAAUAGGACCUUGGUUCUAUUUUGUUGGUUGGAGGCCAAGGUAAUGAUUAAUAGGGAUAGUUGGGGGUAUUCAUAUUUAAUUGUCAGAGGUGAAAUUCUUGGAUUUAUGAAAGAUGAACUAUGCGAAAGCAUUUACCAAGGAUGUUUUCAUCA